rnacentral:rRNA from 1 species
GACGAACGCUGGCGGCGUGCUUAAUACAUGCAAGUCGAACGGAAAGGCCCUGCUUUUGUUGGGUGCUCGAGUGGCGAACGGGUGAGUAACACGUGAGUAACCUGCCCUUGACUUUGGGAUAACUUUAGGAAACUGGGGCUAAUACCGGAUAGGAGCUCCUGCUGCAUGGUGGGGGUUGGAAAGGUUCGGCGGUUGGGGUUGGACUCGCGGCUUAUCAGCUUGUUGGUGAGGUAGUGGAUUACCAAGGCUUUGACGGGUAGCCGGCCUGAGAGGGUGACCGGCCACAUUGGGACUGAGAUAGGGACCAGACUGCUACGGGAGGCAGCGGUGGGAAAUAUUGCACAAUGGGCGGAAGCCUGAUGCAACGACGCCGCGUGCGGGAUGACGGCCUUCGGGUUGUAAACAGCUUUCGCCUGUAACGAAGAGUGAGUGACGGUAACGGAUAAGAAAGCACCGGCUAACUACGUG